rnacentral:misc_RNA from 1 species
GAUGAAGAACGCAGCGAAAUGCGAAAAGUAAUGUGAAUUGCAGAAUUCAGUUAAUCAUCGAAUCUUUGAACGCACAUUGCGCCCCUUGGUAUUCCAUGGGGCAUGCCUGUUCGAGCGUCAUUUGUACCUUCAAGCUUUGCUUGGUGUUGGGUGUUUGUCUCGCCUUUGCGUGUAGACUCGCCUUAAAAUAAUUGGCAGCCGGCGUAUUGAUUUCGGAGCGCAGUACAUCUCGCGCUUUGCACUCAUAACGACAGCGUCCAAAAGUACAUUUUACACUCUUGACCUCGGAUCAGGUAGGGAUACCCGCUGAACUUAAGCAUAUCAAUAAGCGGAGGA